UACGGAGGGGGCUAGCGUUGUUCGGAAUUACUGGGCGUAAAGCGCACGUAGGCGGCUUUGUAAGUUAGAGGUGAAAGCCCGGAGCUCAACUCCGGAAUUGCCUUUAAGACUGCAUCGCUAGAAUUGUGGAGAGGUAAGUGGAAUUCCGAGUGUAGAGGUGAAAUUCGUGAGAUAUUCGGAAGAACACCAGUGGCGAAGGCGACUUACUGGACACAUAUUGACGCUGAGG
rnacentral:rRNA from 1 species